CGGACGGGUGAGUAAUGUCUGGGAAACUGCCUGAUGGAGGGGGAUAACUACUGGAAACGGUAGCUAAUACCGCAUAACGUCGCAAGACCAAAGAGGAGGACCUUAGGGCCUCUUGCCAUCGGAUGUGCCCAGAUGGGAUUAGCUAGUAGGUGGGGUAAAGGCUCACCUAGGCGACGAUCCCUAGCUGGUCUGAGAGGAUGACCAGCCACACUGGAACUGAGACACGGUCCAG
rnacentral:rRNA from 1 species